GUGGGGAAUAUUGCGCAAUGGGGGGAACCCUGACGCAGCCAUGCCGCGUGAAUGAAGAAGGCCUUCGGGUUGUAAAGUUCUUUCGGUGACGAGGAAGGAGUGUUGGUUAAUACCCAGCGCUAUUGACGUUAAUCACAGAAGAAGCACCGGCUAACUCCGUGCCAGCAGCCGCGGUAAUACGGAGGGUGCGAGCGUUAAUCGGAAUAACUGGGCGUAAAGGGCACGCAGGCGGAUUUUUAAGUGAGGUGUGAAAGCCCCGGGCUUAACCUGGGAAUUGCAUUUCAGACUGGGAAUCUAGAGUACUUUAGGGAGGGGUAGAAUUCCACGUGUAGCGGUGAAAUGCGUAGAGAUGUGGAGGAAUACCGAAGGCGAAGGCAGCCCCUUGGGAAUGUACUGACGCUCAUGUGCGAAAGCGUGGGGAGCAAACAGG
rnacentral:rRNA from 1 species